rnacentral:rRNA from 1 species
AGUUUGAUCCUGGCUCAGGAUGAACGCUGGCGGCGUGCCUAAUACAUGCAAGUCGAGCGAACAGAUAAGGAGCUUGCUCCUUUGACGUUAGCGGCGGACGGGUGAGUAACACGUGGGUAACCUACCUAUAAGACUGGGAUAACUUCGGGAAACCGGAGCUAAUACCGGAUAAUAUUUCGAACCGCAUGGUUCGAUAGUGAAAGAUGGUUUUGCUAUCACUUAUAGAUGGACCCGCGCCGUAUUAGCUAGUUGGUAAGGUAACGGCUUACCAAGGCAACGAUACGUAGCCGACCUGAGAGGGUGAUCGGCCACACUGGAACUGAGACACGGUCCAGACUCCUACGGGAGGCAGCAGUAGGGAAUCUUCCGCAAUGGGCGAAAGCCUGACGGAGCAACGCCGCGUGAGUGAUGAAGGUCUUCGGAUCGUAAAACUCUGUUAUUAGGGAAGAACAUACGUGUAAGUAACUAUGCACGUCUUGACGGUACCUAAUCAGAAAGCCACGGCUAACUACGUGCCAGCAGCCGCGGUAAUACGUAGGUGGCAAGCGUUAUCCGGAAUUAUUGGGCGUAAAGCGCGCGUAGGCGGUUUUUUAAGUCUGAUGUGAAAGCCCACGGCUCAACCGUGGAGGGUCAUUGGAAACUGGAAAACUUGAGUGCAGAAGAGGAAAGUGGAAUUCCAUGUGUAGCGGUGAAAUGCGCAGAGAUAUGGAGGAACACCAGUGGCGAAGGCGACUUUCUGGUCUGUAACUGACGCUGAUGUGCGAAAGCGUGGGGAUCAAACAGGAUUAGAUACCCUGGUAGUCCACGCCGUAAACGAUGAGUGCUAAGUGUUAGGGGGUUUCCGCCCCUUAGUGCUGCAGCUAACGCAUUAAGCACUCCGCCUGGGGAGUACGACCGCAAGGUUGAAACUCAAAGGAAUUGACGGGGACCCGCACAAGCGGUGGAGCAUGUGGUUUAAUUCGAAGCAACGCGAAGAACCUUACCAAAUCUUGACAUCCUUUGAUCGCUCUAGAGAUAGAGUUUUCCCCUUCGGGGGACAAAGUGACAGGUGGUGCAUGGUUGUCGUCAGCUCGUGUCGUGAGAUGUUGGGUUAAGUCCCGCAACGAGCGCAACCCUUAAACUUAGUUGCCAGCAUUCAGUUGGGCACUCUAAGUUGACUGCCGGUGACAAACCGGAGGAAGGUGGGGAUGACGUCAAAUCAUCAUGCCCCUUAUGAUUUGGGCUACACACGUGCUACAAUGGACAAUACAAAGGGCAGCGAAACCGCGAGGUCAAGCAAAUCCCAUAAAGUUGUUCUCAGUUCGGAUUGUAGUCUGCAACUCGACUACAUGAAGCUGGAAUCGCUAGUAAUCGUAGAUCAGCAUGCUACGGUGAAUACGUUCCCGGGUCUUGUACACACCGCCCGUCACACCACGAGAGUUUGUAACACCCGAAGCCGGUGGAGUAACCAUUUUGGAGCUAGCCGUCGAAGGUGGGACAAAUGAUUGGGGUGAAGUCGUAACAAGGUAGCCGUAUCGGAAGGUGCGGCUGGAUCACCUCCUU